UUGGAAUAACAGCAGCAG
rnacentral:piRNA from 1 species